AAUAUUGGACAAUGGGGCAACCCUGACCCAGCCAUGCCGCGUGUGUGAAGAAGGUCUUCGGAUUGUAAAGCACUUUAAGUUGGGAGGAAGGGCUUUAGGUUAAUACCCUGAAGUUUUGACGUUACCAACAGAAUAAGCACCGGCUCACUCUGUCCCAGCAGCCGCGGUAAUACAGAGGGUGAAAGCGUUAAUCGGAAUUACUGGGCGUAAAGCGCGGGUAGGUGGUUCAGUAAGAUGGGUGGGAAGUCCCCGGGCUUAACCUGGGAACUGCUUUCAUAACUGCUGAGCUAGAGUACGGUAGGGGGUAGUGGAAUUUCCUGUGGAGCGGUGAAAUGCGUAGAUAUAGGAAGGAACACCAGUGGCGAAGGCGACUACCUGGACUGAUACUGACACUGAGGUGCGAAAGCGUGGGGAGCAAAC
rnacentral:rRNA from 1 species